GGCCGCCUGGCGAAAUGGCAUCGCGUCUGACUACGAAAAGGCGUUGAAAGAAUGCUCAUAAUCAGGAGAUUGCAGGUUCGACCCCUGCGGUGGUCA
rnacentral:tRNA from 1 species